CGUAAGCCAAUGAGUUAAACACUUCAGCUGGAAGUACGACUAAGACACAAAAUGUCUGUAGCUCAUCUUAGUCUUUCCAAAAUAUCUAAAAAGAUAAUGAAACCUAGUCUAAAUCUACCUAGGCUACAAAUCCUAACCACACUGAUUCAGCUAAUCACCAAUAUAUACACUAAGGAAAAGGCUAGAAGUUUGUCUUAAAUCUUCUCUGCACCCUCAUUGGCUGGCCUCCCUGCCAAUCACAAUUAACAGUUAGUUUAAUUAAUACUUUUGCAGAUUUUUAGACAUAUAUCCUAGUUCUGAGGUAAUAAAACUACUAAAAGUCAUGU